UUGGCCUUUGGACCCAUUCUCUCGUUGCGACCCCA
rnacentral:rRNA from 1 species